rnacentral:lncRNA from 1 species
AUGUCCCUUUUCACGCUCAUAAACCGAGCAGUCGAAGCAAAGCGAAGCAGGACCUGGCUCAGGAGAGGACGGAAGGAGGGGGGGAGGGAGGAAGCCACACGCCAAGGGCAGCGUCCCAUCCACAGCGAGGGUUGCCAACAGGACCCGGGACGAAUAGCGAUGCCGCCGCGAGGACGUCUGCUCGGGAUGCCGGGGCGGAAGCUCUUGGCUCUGAAGAGAAGCGCUCUCUCGCCCGGGGUUGUGGAAAAGCGACUGGAUGGUCUUCGGUGGCCGCAGUCCAGGAGGAGAGAGGACCCAAGGGAGCGGAGGGAGGCUGGUCUUCGGGAUACGGGGACUGGCCUGGCUCAUGCAUAGGUCUGGAAGAAAAUAAAGGAAGACAAGGAGACUUUCCCCUCCCUUCUCCUUCAGUCAUUGAUGAACAAGCCUAAAAAUUCGGGUCAAUUGACCCCUCGAGAUACGACUUGGAGGAUCUUCCCAAGAACUUUGUACAUAGCUG